UACGUAGGGUGCGAGCGUUGUCCGGAAUUAUUGGGCGUAAAGAGCUCGUAGGCGGUGUGUCGCGUCGGCCGUGAAAACCUGGGGCUCAACUCUGGGCGUGCGGUCGAUACGGGCAUCACUGGAGUUCGGCAGGGGAGACUGGAAUUCCUGGUGUAGCGGUGAAAUGCGCAGAUAUCAGGAGGAACACCGGUGGCGAAGGCGGUGCUCUGGGCCAGUACUGACGCUGAGGAGCGAAAGCGUGGGGAGCGAACAGG
rnacentral:rRNA from 1 species